rnacentral:rRNA from 1 species
ACGGGUGAGUAAUGCCUAGGAAUCUGCCUGGUAGUGGGGGAUAACGUUCGGAAACGGACGCUGAUACCGCAUACGUCCUACGGGAGAAAGCAGGGGACCUUCGGGCCUUGCGCUAUCAGAUGAGCCUAGGUCGGAUUACCUAGUUGGUGAGGUAAUGGCUCACCAAGGCGACGAUCCGUAACUGGUCUGAGAGGAUGAUCAGUCACACUGGAACUGAGACACGGUCCAUACUCCUACGGGAGGCAGCAAUGGGGAAUAUUGGACAAUGGGCGAAAGCCUGAUCCAGCCAUGCCGCGUGUGUGAAGAAGGUCUUCGGAUUGUAAAGCAUUUAAGUUGUGAGGAAGGGCAGUUACCUAAUACGUGAUUGUUUUGACGUUACCGACAGAAUAAGCACCGGCUAACUCUGUGCCAGCAGCCGCGGUAAUACAGAGGGUGCAAGCGUUAAUCGGAAUUACUGGGCGUAAAGCGCGCGUAGGUGGUUUGUUAAGUUGGAUGUGAAAUCCCCGGGCUCAACCUGGGAACUGCAUUCAAAACUGACUGACUAGAGUAUGGUAGAGGGUGGUGGAAUUUCCUGUGUAGCGGUG